GCGGACUGACUUGGUCGUGUUUCGUGGCGGGACUUUGCAUGACUCAUGAGCUGCGGCUUGUCGAGAUGUCGAGCUCCCUGUGCGGUGAGCUAUGUGGUAGUUGGUUAUCUUGGCACGAAACGUGGCUGCGACUCUCGGGCUGUCGAAUGCCAAUUGCAAUGUGAAAUGUUGCCUUACAAAAUGCCGCGCGUCAAUAUGCAAAAUACAUGCCACGAGAAUUCAACGGCAAACGGCAAAUGGCGAUGGCGACGGCAACUGCCACAAAGGCAAAUUGAAUUGCAACCUCAGGCAGUGGCUGUACAUUGUGGAUGUGGAUGUGGCUGUGGAUGUGGAUGUAUAGAUAGAUGUGGCCAGUACGUUGGAUAGAAGAAAACAAGUCCCGCCAAGCGACCAACCAAAGAAUUCUGGCCUUAGUUAGCUAACCGAAAGUGAAAAAUAAAGUAGGGGGAGUUGCUCGGAAAA